CAGCCGCCGCGGUAAUACGGAGGGGGCUAGCGUUGUUCGGAAUUACUGGGCGUAAAGCGCACGUAGGCGGCUUGGUAAGCCAGAGGUGAAAGCCCGGGGCUCAACCCCGGAACUGCCUUUGAAACUAGGUGACUAGAAUCUUGGAGAGGUCAGUGGAAUUCCUAGUGUAGAGGUGAAAUUCGUAGAUAUUCGGAAGAACACCAGUGGCGAAGGCGACUGACUGGACAAGUAUUGACGCUGAGGUGCGAAAGCGUGGGGAGCAAACAGGAUUAGAUACCCGCGUAGUCCCUGUCUCUUAUAC
rnacentral:rRNA from 1 species